UUCUACUACCACGUGGUCCACCACGCGCAUGCUCAACGCGCAUGCUCAACACUCGACUUAACAUACUUGGCGUUAACUACGUUUAAUUGCAUUAAACUACAUUAAAAUUGUGACUUCCUAUAUACUCCAGCCUGGCAGGACUCUCUAAGCCUAAGACUGAUCCCAGUCCACAGUGCAUGUCUCGUGUGACAUGUACCACUCAAUGUACCACUCAAUGUUUCAGCAUGCCAUGUCUCCAGUGUUUAGCUAUUGUGUUGCUGUGCUGGUCAUACAUGCUACAUGUCACUAGCCGAGGGUUUGCACUCUAGUUUGUUUGUUUGUUUGUGAUUGGCUUUUCUACUCACCUGGUAGCCUCGAUCCCAGGCCGAGUUUUCGCUUUUAUAACGGUUAGGCGAACAACUGGGCCUGGUACUAGUUGUCUGCGCAUGCGUCAGUCGUUCGUCAGAUUCUGACGAAUGGAUAUUCUCGUUCACUUUCGUGACAUUUAUAUUCGUGUACUAUCGUGUACUAGAAGUCAGUUCCCGUUUUAUCAUUAUUUGGAAUGGCUCUUAGCUGAAGCUUCUCUCUUCUCUGAAGCUUAUUCUGAAGACUGAACAACAAGGGAAGAGGUAUAAAGCUUUGUCAAGCUUGUUAAGGUCAGAUCUUUUUGUGUGGGCCCUAUGGCUAUGCUAUCAAGUCUUGUUCAUGUUUGGCAAGAUCUACCAGUAUGUAGGUAGACUACAGUUUCAUCACUAAUAUGGUGGAUCAAGUGAAGAGUGUGAGCUAGAAAACUUGGUGCUGCCAUUAUCAGCUCGUCGACAAUGACACUAACCUGUUUAAUACGAGAAAUUUAAUAUGUAUAGAUCUACACGUAUUUAAAAUGUCUACUUCUCUGUACAGGAGCAAUGGCUAAUAUCCAGCUAUCCCAACAGUGCUCCUCUUGGCUAUACUAACGGACGAGACUGGACAGUUUGAGGACUGGAGUAUGACCUGCUCAUUCGAGUGUUGCUGGGUAGCUCAGAGACAUCAAGAGAAUCUACGUUUUCUCAAGCAAAAUUUAACUGAGUUACGAGUUGGGGCCUAGAAUCAGAGAAGUCCAGCAGCCUGCUAAAUCUUUUUGAAACGUAAUUUGAAGGCAUUCAAUCAUCCUGAGUUGCCCUGGGUCACUGUAAUUGUGCUGCAAGCACAACUGGCAACUCCCCAGGCCUUUGUGAAGCAGCUCCCUAUGUGCAUCUUUUGUGUACUCACUCUGUGCAUUUUCUGUCUACAAAUUUCCAUUAUUGAUUUAUUAAAUAUUUUUGCCGACCACAAAUAUACAAUGAAAAUUUGACGCAUG